rnacentral:rRNA from 1 species
GUGAUGAAGGUCUUCGGAUCGUAAAACUCUGUUAUCAGGGAAGAACAAACGUGUAAGUAACUGUGCACGUCUUGACGGUACCUGAUCAGAAAGCCACGGCUAACUACGUGCCAGCAGCCGCGGUAAUACGUAGGUGGCAAGCGUUAUUAAAAAAUUAUUGGGCGUAAAGCGCGCGUAAGC